rnacentral:misc_RNA from 1 species
GAUGAAGAACGUAGCGAAAUGCGAUAAGUAGUGUGAAUUGCAGAAUUCAGUGAAUCAUCGAAUCUUUGAACGCACAUUGCGCCCCUUGGUAUUCCAUGGGGCAUGCCUGUUCGAGCGUCAUCUACAACCCUCAAGCCCUGCUUGGUGUUGGGCGUCUGUCCCGCCCCCGCGCGCGGACUCGCCCCAAAUCCAUUGGCGGCGGCCCUUGCCUCCCUCUCGCGCAGCACAUUGCGCUUCUCGAGGCGUCGCGGGCCGCGCUCCACGAAGCACGCAAACCAGUCUUUGACCUCGGAUCAGGUAGGGAUACCCGCUGAACUUAAGCAUAUCAAGAAGCGGAGGA